AUCCCCCGCGAUGCUUUAGAGAUAAAGCGGAGGGUAUUCGGGGAGACAGGUGGUGCAUGGUUGUCGUCAGCUCGUGUCGUGAGAUGUUGGGUUAAGUCCCGCAACGAGCGCAACCCCUAUUGCUAGUUACCAUCAUUAAGUUGGGGACUCUAGCGAGACUGCCAGUGAUAAACUGGAGGAAGGUGGGGAUGACGUCAAAUCAUCGUGCCCCUUAUGACCUGGGCUACAAACGUGAUACAAUGGCUGGAACAAAGGGAUGCGAAGCAGUGAUGUGGAGCGAAACCCAUAAAAACAGUCUCAGUUCGGAUUGAAGUCUGCAACUCGACUUCAUGAAGUCGGAAUCGCUAGUAAUCGCGGAUCAGAACGCCGCGGUGAAUACGUUCUCGGGGUUU
rnacentral:rRNA from 1 species